UGAGGAAUAUUGGUCAAUGGACGGAAGUCUGAACCAGCCAAGUAGCGUGCAGGAUGACGGCCCUAUGGGUUGUAAACUGCUUUUGUAUGGGGAUAAAGUUAGGGACGUGUCCCUAUUUGCAGGUACCAUACGAAUAAGGACCGGCUAAUUCCGUGCCAGCAGCCGCGGUAAUACGGAAGGUCCAGGCGUUAUCCGGAUUUAUUGGGUUUAAAGGGAGCGUAGGCUGGAGAUUAAGUGUGUUGUGAAAUGUAGACGCUCAACGUCUGAAUUGCAGCGCAUACUGGUUUCCUUGAGUACGCACAACGUUGGCGGAAUUCGUCGUGUAGCGGUGAAAUGCUUAGAUAUGACGAAGAACUCCGAUUGCGAAGGCAGCUGACGGGAGCGCAACUGACGCUUAAGCUCGAAGGUGCGGGUAUCAAACAGGANUAGAUACCCUGGUAGUCCGCACAGUAAACGAUGGAUGCCCGCUGUUGGUACCUGGUAUCAGCGGCUAAGCGAAAGCAUUAAGCAUCCCACCUGGGGAGUACGCCGGNNNGGU
rnacentral:rRNA from 1 species